GAUGAACGCUGGCGGCGUGCCUAAUACAUGCAAGUCGAGCGAACGGACGAGAAGCUUGCUUCUCUGAUGUUAGCGGCGGACGGGUGAGUAACACGUGGAUAACCUACCUAUAAGACUGGGAUAACUUCGGGAAACCGGAGCUAAUACCGGAUAAUAUUUUGAACCGCAUGGUUCAAAAGUGAAAGACGGUCUUGCUGUCACUUAUAGAUGGAUCCGCGCUGCAUUAGCUAGUUGGUAAGGUAACGGCUUACCAAGGCAACGAUGCAUAACCGACCUGAGAGGGUGAGCGGCCACACUGGAACUGAGACACGGUCCAGACUCCUACGGGAGGCAGCAGUAGGGAAUCUUACGCAAUGGGCGAAAGCCUGACGGAGCAACGCCGCGUGAGUGAUGAAGGUCUUCGGAUCGUAAAACUCUGUUAUUAGGGAAGAACAUAUGUGUAAGUAACUGUGCACAUCUUGACGGUACCUAAUCAGAAAGCCACGGCUAACUACGUG
rnacentral:rRNA from 1 species